rnacentral:rRNA from 1 species
UACGUAGGGUGCAAGCGUUAAUCGGAAUUACUGGGCGUAAAGCGUGCGCAGGCGGUUUUGUAAGUCUGACGUGAAAUCCCCGGGCUCAACCUGGGAAUUGCGUUGGAGACUGCAAGGCUGGAGUCUGGCAGAGGGGGGUGAGAAUUCCACGUGUGAGCAGUGAAAUGCGUAGAGAUGUGGAGGAACACCGAUGGCGAAGGCAGCCCCCUGGGUCAAGAUUGGACGCUCAUGCACGAAAGCGUGGGGAGC